rnacentral:rRNA from 1 species
GAUGAACGCUAGCGGCAGGCCUAAUACAUGCAAGUCGAGGGGCAGCGGGUGUAGCAAUACAUGCCGGCGACCGGCGCACGGGUGCGUAACGCGUAUGCAACUUACCUCUAACAGGGGAAUAGCCCCGAGAAAUCGGGAUUAAUACCUCAUAAUAUUUAUCAUUCGCCUGUUUGAUAAAUUAAAGCUCCGGCGGUUAGAGAUGGGCAUGCGUGACAUUAGCUAGUUGGUGAGGUAACGGCUCACCAAGGCUGCGAUGUCUAGGGGUUCUGAGAGGACAUUCCCCCACACUGGUACUGAGACACAGACCAGACUCCUACGGGAGGCAGCAGUAAGGAAUAUUGGGCAAUGGACGCAAGUCUGACCCAGCCAUGCCGCGUGCAGGAUGAAGGCCCUAUGGGUUGUAAACUGCUUUUGUACGGGAAGAAACUUCCGCACGUGUGCGGAAUUGACGGUACCGUGCGAAUAAGCACCGGCUAACUCCGUGCCAGCAGCCGCCGCGGUAA